GAGGUCAUCCUGACUGGUUGCAUCUCUGCCUGAUACGGCAAUUGCUCAGCAUCCGACCGCAAGGCACUACAGAGGGUAGUGUUAGGGCUAAGCGGCCUGCUAUCCAGGACCUCUACACUAGGCGGUGUCAGAGGAAGGCCCUAAAAAUUGUCAAAGACAACAGCCACCCCAGUCAUAGACGGUUCUCUCUACUACCGCAUGGCAAGCGGUACCAGAGUGCCAUGUCUAGGACAAAAAGGCUUCUCAACAGUUUUUACCCCCAAGCCAUAAGACUCCUGAACAGGUAAUCAAGUGGCUACCUGGACUAUUUGCAUUCUUCUUUUUACGCUGCUGCUACUCUCUGUUUAUCAUAUAUGCAUAGUCACUUUAACUAUUCAUUCAUGUCCAUAAUACCUCAAUUGGGCCGACCAACCUGUGCUCCCGCACAUUGGCUAACCGGGCUAUCUGCAUUGUGUCCCGCCACCAACCACCCGCCAACCCUUUUUUUACACUACUGCUACUCUCUGUUCAUCAUAUGCAUAGUCACUUUAACCAUAUCUACAUGUACAUACUACGUCAAUCAGCCUGACUAACCGGUGUCUGUAUGUAGCCUCGCUAAUUUUAUAGCCUCGCUACUGAAUAGAGCCUGUCUUUUUACUUUACUAUUAUUUAUUUACUUACCUAUUGUUCACCUAAUACCUUUUUGCACUAUUGGUUAGAGCCUGUAAGUAAGCUUUUCACUUACUUACAACACCUGUUGUAUUCGGCGCAUGUGACAAAUAAACUUUGCUUUGAUUGGAUUUGAAUUUGCUUAAAUUAAUAAGAAAUACACACCUGGUGUGAACAAGAAAUGAAUUGUUCAGAGAUUUGAACUUAUUGUUUUGAAAAAAAGAAUUAUCAUUCGAGAAUUGAGCCAAAGCUAUUGAGAGAACCUGUAACAUACACAACACAAAAGAAUGCCAAAACAGCUCCUACACCAUUUUGCAUGUCUAUUUGAAUGUAUGCGAGACGCUGUUCUUUGUUACCUUUUACAUGCACAGAAACCCGAAAAAGUGUUUUAAACACCGAUAUGAAGAACCACAUAUUUCAGAGAACUUCUAUUCUGUUUGAAAACACUGUGUUUCAGAACACUUAAAUUGGCUUUACAGCCUCUAAACACCAGAUCUCAUCUUAAGUACAUUACUUUGCAUGGUUUCAUUAUACAGUGAUGGUGUUUUGAGUGUUUAAUAGAGGAGGAGAGAGAAGGCAAAGAAUACGAAUCCCUGAUGAAAUCAGAGCCACAAUUGUGGACUGUGUCAUCAAGCACAAGACAUUUGCAAUGUGGAUACAGCCAACAAUUCCAUCAGGCUAAGAGGGAUCCAAAGUGCAAUCAUAAAUGACAACAUCAUUGCAAAUAUCAAUUCUGUCAGCAUUUCCACUCUAGACAGAGUUUUCAAAAAUAAUCAAAUGACUAUGAAACAACUCUACAAGGUGCCACUUGAGAGGAAUAGUGACUGAGUGAAGGAGCUGCGUUACCAGUAUGUCCAGGUAGGAGCUGUGGGACAGGUAUGUCCAGGUAGGAGCUGCUGUACCAGUAUGUCCAGGUACCAGUAUGUCCAGGUAGGAGCUGCAGUACCAGUAUGUCCAGGUAGGAGCUGCAGUACCAGGAUGUCCAGGUAGGAGCUGCAGUACCAGGAGUCCAGGUAGGAGCUGCAGUACCAGGAUGUCCAGGUACCAGUAUGUCCAGUUAGGAGCUGUGGUACCAGGAUGUCCAGGUAGGAGCUGUGGUACCAGUAUAUCCUGGUAGGAGCUGUGGUACCAGUAUGUCCAGGUAGGAGCUGUGGUACCAGUAUGUCCAGGUAGAAGCUGUGGAACCAGGAUGUCCAGGUACCAGUAUGUCCUGGUAGUAGCUGUGGUACUAGUGUGUCCAGAUAUGAGCUGUGGUACCAGUAUGUCCAGUUAGAAGCUGCAGUACCAGGAUGUCCAGGUAGGAGCUGUGGAACCAGUAUGUCCAGGUACCAGGAUGUCCAGGUAGGAGCUGUGGAACCAGUAUGUCCAGGUACCAGGAUGUCCAGGUAGGAGCUGUGGUACCAGUAUGUCCAGGUAGGAGCUGUGGUACCAGUAUGUCCAGGUACCAGGAUGUCCAUGUAGGAGCUGUGGUACCAAUAUGUCCUGGUAGGAGCUGUGGUACCAGUAUGUCCUGGUAGGAGCUGCGGUACCAGUAUGUCCAGGUAGGAGCUGCGGUACCAGUAUGUCCAGGUAGGAGCUGUGGUACCAGUAUGUCCAGGUAGGAGCUGAGGUACCAGUAUGUCCAGGUAGGAGCUGAGGUACCAGGAUGUCCAGGUAGGAGCUGUGGUACCAGUAUGUCCAGGUAGGAGCUGUGGUAACAGUAUGUCCAGGUUAACCAUUGGUGUGCACAUGGUAUAUUGUACAGGGAGUUUUACUGUACUUCAGUGAUGCCUGUAUAUAUUUCUUGAAGUUUUAGAUACCCAUAAAAACAUUUCUACUUUACUAAACUGUCUGAUUCCAGAAAAGGCUAUGUUAAACUAACUUCAUGUUUUGUUUCUGUAUUACUAUAUAGAUAAUAAUGGAGCUGGAAGGACAUGAAAUGACCCACAUUCUUGUUUUUGUGGAAGAGGCUAGGUUCAAUCUGGCCGAAUGCAGAGACGUGGAAGCAAUCUCAUUGGCCACCGAGCCACAAUUGUCACACCAGGCCAACGUGGGGACCAUAUUACAAUGUGUGCUGCCAUUUCUGAGAAUGUUGUGAGCAAAACAUAUUCCACACAUUGGGUCCUAUAACACCCAACUUCUCCUGUCCUUCCUAAAUAUACUGUACAGAGACCUAAUACCAGAACAUGAAAGAGAUUGCAUCGCAAGGGAAAACAUCAGAUGUGAUUCUGACUAAAAUCUCUGGCCAGACCAACAAGAGUGCCAGUGUGUCCAAGAAGAUGGGAACUUGUAGUGUUACGUAGGGUGCGGAGGUACUAUUUAUUGUUUUUUACAGAACUGUCGCAGGUUUUUUUCAAUGUUGCGAGUUUAUUUAUUUUUUGCAUAGAUGUCAUUUUGUGGCAAAUUUUCUGUUCAAUAUAUAUGACUUUACAUGUAAGAAAUAUGUAAAAAUGGACAUGCAAAUGUGAAUUUUCUGUUUACAUGUAACACAUUGCUAUAAAUGUUCUGUAUACAUGCAAAUGUGCAUAUCCUUUUUCUGUGUACUACAGUAUUGUUCAAAAAAA
ensembl:lncRNA